AGUUCGAUCAUGGCUCAGAUUGAACGCUGGCGGGAUGCUUUACACAUGCAAGUCGAACGGCAGCACGGACUUCAGUCUGGUGGCGAGUGGCGAACGGGUGAGUAAUAUCGGAACGUGCCUAGUAGCGGGGGAUAACCACGCGCGCGAAGCGUGGCUCAUCUCCGCAAUACGCCUUCGGGACAGCAGGGACCAGGCCUCAGCACAAUAGAGCUGGCCGAUGUCCCGGACUGGCUCAGUUAAGGUGGGCAACAACCCACCGGUAGGCGAUCAGCGGUUCUAAGGACGACUAGCACACUAGGUUCAGACGGCCCCCAGACUCUGGGGCGAGCGUUGGAAUUUUACGGACAAUGGAACAAUCAAUGUAUUCCCGCAGUAAUGCAUUGAGGCCCGGGAUGUAAGCCUUUGGCAGGAAGAAGCGGCACGGAUAUCUUCGGCAUUGAAUUGUACCUGCAGAUAAGCGCUUUCGUCUAACUACGUCCGCAGCAGCCGCGUAACCGUAAGCAAUGCAGCAUCCAUCCGAUAGGCGUCAAAACGAUGCAGACGGUUCGAUGUCAUCGCAAAUCUGAGCUGCUACGAACGCAUUUUUAACUACCGAGCUAGAGUGUGUCAGAGGGAGGUGGAAUUCCGCGUGUAGCAGUGAAAUGCGUAGAUAUGCGGAGGAACACCGAUGGCAGAGGCAGCCUCCUGGGAUAACAUGACGCUCAUGCACGAAAACGUGGGAGCAAACAGGAUUAGAUACCCUGGUAGUCCACGCCCUAAACGAUGUCAACUAGCUGUUGGGGCCUUCGGGCCUUGACAGCGCAACUAACGCGUGAAGUUGACCGCCUGGGGAGUACGGUCGCGGAAUUAAAACUCAAAGGAAUUGACGGGGACCCGCACAAGCGGUGGAUGAUGUGUGGAUUAAUUCGAUGCAACGCGAAAAACCUUACCUACCCUUGACAUGUGGAAUCGAAAGAGAUUUGGGAGUGCUCGCGAGAGAACCGGAACACAGGUGCUGCAUGGCUGUCGUCAGCUCGUGCGUGAGAUGUUGGGUUAAGUCCCGCAACGAGCGCAACCCUUGUCAUUAGUUGCUACGAAGAGGGCCUCUAAUGAGACUGCCGGUGACAAACCGGAGGAAGGUGGGGAUGACGUCAAGUCCUCAUGGCCCUUAUGGGUAGGGCUUCACACGUCAUACAAUGGUCGGGACAGAGGGUCGCCAACCCGCGAGGGGGAGCCAAUCCCAGAAACCCGAUCGUAGUCCGGAUCGCAGUCUGCAACUCGACUGCGUGGAGAGUCGGAAUCGCUAGUAAUCGCGGAUCAGCAUGUCGCGGUGAAUACGUUCCCGGGUCUUGUACACACCGCCCGUCACACCAUGGGAGUGGGUUUUACCAGAAGUAGUUAGCCUAACCGUAAGGAGGCGAUUACCACGGUAGGAUUCAUGACUGGGGGUGAAGUCGCUGGGUAG
rnacentral:rRNA from 1 species